rnacentral:rRNA from 1 species
GAUGAACGCUGGCGGCGUGCCUAAUACAUGCAAGUCGAGCGAACAGAUAAGGAGCUUGCUCCUUUGACGUUAGCGGCGGACGGGUGAGUAACACGUGGGUAACCUACCUAUAAGACUGGAAUAACUCCGGGAAACCGGGGCUAAUGCCGGAUAACAUUUAGAACCGCAUGGUUCUAAAGUGAAAGAUGGUUUUACUAUCACUUAUAGAUGGACCCGCGCCGUAUUAGCUAGUUGGUAAGGUAACGGCUUACCAAGGCAACGAUACGUAGACGACCUGAGAGGGUGAUCGGCCACACUGGAACUGAGACACGGUCCAGACUCCUACGGGAGGCAGCAGUAGGGAAUCUUCCGCAAUGGGCGAAAGCCUGACGGAGCAACGCCGCGUGAGUGAUGAAGGUCUUCGGAUCGUAAAACUCUGUUAUUAGGGAAGAACAAAUGUGUAAGUAACUGUGCACGUCUUGACGGUACCUAAUCAGAAAGCCACGGCUAACUACGUG